GCCACCUGGGCACACUGCUGGCUCGUAUUCAGCCAGCUGUCAACCAGCAGCCCCAGGUCCUUUUCCUGUAUAUAGCUUCAUCCCUAGAUACAUAGCUGCUUUGGGGAGAGGGAGCCUGACAAAUGCAGUCUUUUUAAGUGUUUCCUUUUCUGAUUCUACAGCUGUGACUCAUACUAAGAAGCUCAAUUAGAAAUAAAAAAAAUCUUGCUGCAUACUUUGCAACUGCCAGUAGUCUGAGAGUGAAGCUAUUUAACUUAAUCACAACAGGCCUGAGUAUUUUAAUUAUGAGCGGUCAGCAGCUGAAAAUAAAGCAUGGAAAGCAGCAGUAGGGCAAACUCUAAAUGCUUUAAGCUUAAAUGGUAGAAUUAUUUAGAAUCUCUUUUCCCCUGACUGAGAGUGUCAACCUUUUUAAAAAUUGAACUGAAACUGGAAUUUUGGGAGAUCUGGGAGUAAGACACUGAUCAGUGAUUCAGUGAUGAGUCCUGGGGCAAUAAAAGGGAGCAACGUUUUCAUUCUUUGUCCAUGUCAUGAUUAAUAGUAGAGAAUAUAUAAUCAAGUAAACUUCAGAAAUUCCUGAGAAAGAGUUAAAAAAAGGAAUUGUUCUGAACAUCUUUGUUAGAUCCAUGAAGUUCUACUCUAUUUUUAAGUACCACUUUUAUUGAGAACGCUAAUAUGUUUUAAAUAACCCCUGGAAGUCCUCAGUUAAUUUGUCACUAAGAGUGGUCCUGGUUUCCAUUUUGGGUGAGGCAGUUUGCCAUUCUGACAUCUAUAAUAGAGCCAGACGUGAGGUGUUAUUCUAAAAUUAUUCAUCUCUCUUGAACAAAGUGAUAGUGCUAAACUUGUUAAGGGGACAAUUUGGAAUUUCUUGAAUAUAAUAUUACAAGAAAACCACUUCCCUUGUUUUUUACUGCAGGUCUAUUUACCAUCUUACAUGUUAGAGGUCCUUUGGAACAUCAAACUAUUUCUCACCUGAUUCAAUCUGACAAAGUUGAAACAUCACUGCCCUGCCAUCAUCUAGGAUCCAAACUGCAUCACAGCAGAAGUUGAGUUUAUAGGUAUGCUAAGAAAAGCCUGCAGAAGAUGGGUAGUAGCUCAGCACUGAGCAACAACAAGCAUUUAAAAUAACAGAAAUUCAGCAUCUCUUAUUCCUUUGCACAGUUUAACCAGCUAACUUUACUAUACUUCAUCGAUAUAUAAAUUAGCUAAACAGAAAUGUCUUUCAAUGUUAAACCUAGCUGAUUAUGGCUAAUUAAAUGUCGUCUAUGUUAGGGGAAUUCUCUGGGAGCACAGAAAAUACAAAUUACUUAGUUCUUGCUGUGUUUAUUACAGAGGAACCAUAGGAUUUUGGGCAAAAAUAAGAAGAAAACUCAUGCUCAUUCUUAAUUUAGAAAGAACAGUGCACUUUAAAAUAUGCUUAUUCAUGACAAAAGAAGACUAAUGAAAUUUAAUUUGGUCCUAUCUUAAUUCUUAUGGCUAGAAGAUGUUGAUUCAUGAAAUGUUUUGUGAUUUAGAGUAAGAAAUCCUUCAAAACCUUACAGAUGCCUUAAUCAUAUCCUAAUGAAGACAGUCUCUGGGUAGGUUUGAAAUUUUCUUGGUUACUUAAAGACAUUUACUGGUCAUUCAUUUUCAUUAAUAUAUUUAGUGUAUAAUGAUCACAGGAAGGAAACCUGGACAGGCACUUGUGGAUUCCUUCAGUUCAAGGAUUUAUCAUUCAGACUUUGUCUCUGUCUCACCCUGUGUGUAUUAUGAUUACAACACUCCACUGCUUUUUGCUUGUUAUUGUUAAUGUUGUAAAACAGACUCCUGGGAAGAGAAGCUAGAGCAAGUGUCUUGUUAAAAAUAGCUCUUGGGGCAAUCAGGCCCCAGAAAAUAAAAGAAAGAAGAAACGAGGGAAAAAGCAGAAAAGACACAUUCAGGACCAGUAAUAUAAUCAUAGUGUGAAAUGGAAAUGAAACCUAGCAUUUUAACUGAAGUUCCGUUUUGUUUUCUGUUUUCCUGCCUGCAAUUUUCAUCUUUAUCAUCAAAACGUCAAACAUGCUGCUCUUCAGUCACUCUGUAACUGUGAUAGCCAAGGGAUGGUGUCUUUUUAAACAAAAAUAGCAAACGGAUUGGUUUUGAUACAUCAUUGGAGCUGGAAUAAUUCAUCAAAGAGUGAACCUGUUGGCCUCAAACAUUUGCCCAGACCUGUGUUAUAAGCAAUGUCAGAACAACUGAUUGAACCUGAAGUGUUCCAUUCUGUCAAGCAGUGAUUCCAAAUACGGUAUGACUGUAUUUUCUUGAGAUGACUGGCCUUCUCAUUUCUCUUCGUCAGGACAACCAAAAGGUCAAAUUCUCCUAGAGAAGAUGUUCAGCAACCUGCAAAAUGACAAGAAAGGUACUCUCAGAUGUGGGAUGGUCUCAAGGAAUAUAAGCUUCCCAUCGCUGGAUUCCAAAACUGGUAUUUUAAGUUGUGAGUCCUAGGAAAGCUGUCUUUACACUUGGAGCAGAACGUCAAUAUUUCUAUCUCAUGGAAUUUAAUCUGAACUCAAGGAAGAAUUUGGCCCAGUGGAUUUCUAAUAUUCUUUUCUGAGAUGAGCAAUUUGGAGACAGUAUUUUUGUCACUUCUGGAGUAGCAUAUAUUCUAACCCACAAAAGAACAAAACCUGCUUUUCUAAUUUUGGAGGAGGGGGUGGAAGCAUGGAGAUGAUAUCCAGAGCAGGAUAUCACAGUUUUGCUGGUGGAUCCUGGCGUACCAGAGCAAAAACCAGGACCAAAGGUAGUGAUUUCUCUCUUGAGCUGUUGGUCAGAAAGGCAAACCCAAGUGAACUUUCAAGAACGAUCUUAAAAUCAGCAAUGUUACCAUGAAGGUACAACAGAUGCACCGUGACUGGACAUUUGCUUAUAACGGAUGCAGAACAUAAGCAAACUCUACAACAGCAGGCUGAAAUGCAGAGUUGAGUUGACUGGCAAGCACACUGAGACAAGAAAUCAAAGGCUGUUCUUCAGGAAAAGAACAAUUAAUGCUUCCAUAUACUGACAUGAGUGUACUCUUUGCUUGUCCAUUCUGACCUAGGAGCCUUAAGAUACUGUAUUCUAAGCAGUUAAUAAAUACUGUCUUUCCUGAAAA